UAUAAAAACCACAUCUAAAUUAAAAAAAAGGAGGGAUUGUGUCUCCAUUGAUUUUAUAACCUUUUCUUUCACCCUUUUGUUGUUGUUUUAGUUUUACUUACAGGUUGUUGUUCAGAAGGAGUGGAAAAAACUUAAGAAGCCAAAGAAUAAAAACGCUACCGUCGUGGACGUCGACACCGACGCGAUUCUGACUAAUAGCUGUGCAGCCACUGUUGGAAGCCGCACAGACCAAGCUCCACCGUUUACCUUACUCAGCCGCGCCGAAAUCGAUUCCUACCGUGAAAAGAUCUCUGUUUCGGUACUAAUUUCUAAUACUCUUCUAUUUACAAAUCUUUUUGUGGUUUUUUUUUUUAAGAAAAGAAAAUAGUGAAGUCUUGGUUUGGUUUCAAAGGCAGAGAUAAUAUACAUGUAUAUUGUGCUCUUCUCUCAUCCCUGGAUACAUACAAUUUUUUAUUCUUUUGGGUCCUUCCGGUUUUUGUCACGUGUCGGUACAUGAUUGUUUGAAAAGAAAAUUUGAAAGUUCAACUCAUGUGGCUAUUAAUCCACCGCCCCUUUGACACUUAUCAGAUCAUGCUGCUAUAUUUCCAAUUUUCUUAGUACCUUCUUACUAAUCUCAUAUACAUAUAUACAAUAUUUUAAUAUUUUCUUGUUUAGGAUUUUAUGUUUAAUAUAUAUUUUUAUUCAAUUAAUUGAUAAUUAGUAUAUUGUGAUGCUAGUAGUAAUGAGCUUAGAUUUUUAUCAACUCACAUUAACCAUUAGCGUACACCCCAUGUUUUAAUACUCUUAAGCCCAUUUCAUUUCUAUUAUUUGCUUAUUUAUUUUUAUAUAAUUAUAUAAUCAAUUCUAGUUAUUAUUUAUAUUUCUAAUUUGUUUUUUUUUAAAAAAGUGAAUUAAUAAUGUAAUAGAUAAUAAAAUUCUAUUUAUUAUCCGUUUCGAUUAAAUCUAUUGGUCGCGAUGGGUAGUAAUCAACCAAUUGAUUAAAUAUAAUUCAAAUAAACUUAUUUUGCUAAAUGGUUUUAACCAAAUCUAUUGGUUACGAUGAUUAGCAUUCCUUUAUCAAUUCGUUAUUAUUUGUAAUCAAAGCUAUUGAUUAUGAGGGAUAACGAUAAAAUUAAAUAAUUAAAACAAAUCAAUUUGCUAACGGUGAUAAUCGAAUCAAUCGAUUAGAAUAAUUAGCAAUGCUUUUAUUAAUCUGUUAACUAUGGUGAUCAAACCUAUUGGUUAUCGCGAUUAAUAGUACAAAUUAAAAUCAGGGUUGUACGCCCAUCUCAAAACAUUUUUCAAACCUUUUAAAAACUUCAAUUUCAAAAUAUAGAUUUUUAUCCUCAUUCAAAACAGCUUCAAUAUCAACUUACGGGUUUUUACCCUAGACAAUUCGAAAAGCCUUCAAACCAUCUCAAAUCAAAUUUCAACUCUAAAGGCGUACAACCCUAGUCCCGAACUACGUUGACUCUGAUUCUCCAUAAGGAGAUACGUAGGCACUUGGCAACAAGGCGAGUCCCCCUCUUCCAAACUCUAAUCAUGUUCAAAUAAUUAGCCUUUAACUCUUAUUACUCUCUGUCACCUUUCUUUAUAAGCCUUGCCAUAAACCUUUAUCUUUGAGAUGUUAGCCUUUAGGAAAGGGUUGAGGGUGCCUAACACCUUCCCUCGACCUGAAUAUAGUAUCUUACCCUGAUCUCUAUACUGCGUAGGGUUUCCUAUUCGCCCUUCAGAAUAGGUGGCGACUCUAAAGUUAUAAUUUUUAGGCAGGUUGCUACAGCUGGCGACUCUGCUGGGGAUAACUUGAAUGGUGAAUACUAUGCUCCUAUAGGUUUUAGGUUUUGGCAGGGUUUAGGUUUGACAACUUUUUAGGGUUUGGCUAAUUCGCUUUUUUUAGGGUUUGUAAUUAUUUUAUUUUAUUUUUUUAAAAAAAAAUUUUAUUUUUUUUUUAUCUAAAAAUAUUUAAUUGUUUAUAAUAUGUUUAUAUUUAAUUGUUUAUGUUAAUAUAUUUAUAUUUAAUUGCCUAAUUGUCAUAUUUUUAUAUGCACUGUUGACAUAUAAUGUAAUGUCAAAACCCUAAGUGUGGGAGUUAACUUUGAGAUCAAUAGGGGAGCAUGAAUCGCCUACGAGUCUCAUUGAUAACUCCACUCGGAGUGGGUUGAGUAUUCGGAAAUGUCCAAAACGAGGCUUGACUUUGUUGAGAGCAGGACUGGAUACUUGGCUGAUCUCUCCGAGAACCUACCCCAAAAAUUCGAACCUCAUGGAUAAAAUGAGUUGUUCUAAAACCCAAAGAGACAAAAAGUCUCGGAGGCUACGAACGACCCCAUGAGACCUUCUAGAACCCCCUAUAAAAAGGUUGGCUCCCAAGAGCCGCUACGUCGAACCUAUGAACUUAUGUGCUUAUGUGCUAUAUGUAUAUAUAUGUGUUGAUCAUUUUUUUUAUUAUUUCUUUUUCCAUUCAUCAUACAUCAGGGGCAUUCUUGCAUCAUAUUUUAUUCAAAAAAAAAAAAGAAAGAAAAAAGGAUAUCAAGCAUAUCAUGCAUGGCAUACACAUCAUUUUCAUGGCAUUAAGAGAAGAUUUCUCUUCUAUCUCCAGAGCAAGGAACCAUUGGGAAGGAUAACCUAACAUCCCGACCGUCUCAUCAAACCAGAUCUCAGCAAAAGAAAUCGAUGGAGCAGCUAGAACAGAAUCAAACUGCCCUUCGUGAAGAUGUGGAUCAACUAAAGGUUAGUAUGGAAGAGGUUAAAGGAGGUAUGGCUCAGAUGUUAGAAUUCAUGAAGGCCCUCAGGGACGAGAAAGAAAAAGCAAAAGAGGUUCAGUCUAGGGAUACCCUGGUUCAGGAUGAGAUCCCCAACGACGAAAACCCGCUGCUAGGAUUUGUUUCAGGCUUUGGCCCAGCUAAGGACAAAUCUCAGGCCCAAUCUGUCAGGAGAGCUAUCCAGUUCCAAGAGAAAGGAGAGACCUCCCAAGAAGGAUUUGUCCCCACUCCACAAACGAAAGGGACAAUCCGCACAGUUCGCAUUCCUGCUAGCAAUGUCCCUAAGGAUGAUGAUUACCUGGAUCUACAAUACGGAGUACAAGAGGUGGACAACACAAAACAAGCACCUCAAACACAACAGUCUAUUCCUAACUCUGGGGAAGACUCCAAGGACAGUGAGCAAAUCAAGACGCUAGAAGAGAGACUAAAAGUGGUAGAAGGAUACGAUGUCUUCGACGUGGAUACCUUCGAAAUGAGCUUGGUCUCAGACCUAACUAUCCCACGCAAAUUCAAGAUUCCCGACUUCGAGAAAUACAAAGGACUCACAUGUCCGAGGAAUCACUUGCGCAUGUAUGUGCGAAAAAUGGCUGCCUACGCCCACGAUCAAAAGCUAAUGAUACAUUUCUUUCAAGAAAGCUUAAGCGGAGCGUCCAUUGACUGGUACAUGCAAUUAGAGAAGUCUUCUGUCCGAAGCUGGAAUGAUUUGGCCAACACCUUCUUAAAGCAUUACAAGUACAACUUGGACAUGGCACCCAACCGAAUGCAAUUACAAAACAUGUCACAGAAGAAGGAUGAAUCAUUCAAGGAGUACGCCCAAAGGUGGAGGGAAAUGGCUUCUCGAGUCCAACCUCCCCUAAUGGAAAAAGAACUGGUUUUGUUUAAGACGUAUCCCAACCUUUUUAGGUAAUAUUCCUUAAAAUAUUUAUGCAAUCCUUUCUAAGACAUCUCUUGCCCUUUUAGGGAGCUUUUUAGUUAGUCUUCUCUAAGACAAUCCUUCCCGAGCUUUGUUUAAAGUCUAAUCUUAUUUACAUCAGUCAUUGAUCUACCCUAUUCAGGAACCUCUCCAGAUAGUCUUCUGUAAGACAUUACUUCAUUUUGAUGAAUCUCUCCUUCGGAUAUAAUCAAUGCAUAUGAUUCAGUCUGAAAAGCAUCGGUUUUAGAUAAUACUCUAUCAACACCUGGAUGGCAUCUUUAAGCCCAUCCCUUAUAACACUUUGCCAACACUUGGAUGGAAUCUUUAAGCCCAUCUCCGACAUAAGUCCAUGUACCAGCAAGGGCAAAUUUCUGAGUAUUCUAGUGUUUAAUCCUCUUCCACCUUCAGUUUCCAAUAGGCACAUAGGCCAAUCUACAUCCUCAGGUUUAAGAAGAUUGAACAGGGGCAGCUGUCAUUACCCAAAAUUUUCCCACUAUAUAUCAAGAUAGUUUGGCUCAGAUAGUCUCCACAGGCUCAUACAAUCUCUAAAGCAUGUUCACUCUCCUCCUAAGUAUAAGGACCAAAAUUAGGGUUUGGAUCUAAUCAAGGAAAAUGGGACCUCUGAGACCUCAAGUGGACUUAAUGGUAUCUCAUAUGAUUCUGAGUAUCUUCAGGCCAAGUUUUAAGUCUCAUAGUACAAGUUUGCUCAAUAAAAAACUCAAAUGAUCAACAAUCAACUAGUUUGACCUAAAAGUCAACUAUGGUCAAAUCACAAUCAAAACUCCUAAUUUUUGGUCAACAUCAAUGUUUUGAAGUCACAUUCAUCAUUUGAUCAAGGGUUGAUCAUGAUUCAUCAGUAGAAGGAUCGAAAAUCAUCAAAAGACAAAGUUUCUAAAUUAGGGUUUUAAGGAGAAAGUAAACUGAACUUUGACUGAUCAUAUCUCCCACAUGGUUCAUCAGAAAUUUCCCAACCCAAAGCUCAUUCUCAAGGAAAUUCAAUUCUCUACAACUUUGAUGUUGGGCUCAAGACCAAGAAAUUCACCAUUUGGGAAAUAUGAGCCAAAACAUUAUAGGUCCUUUUAAAGAUUCACAAAAAGCUGCUUUUUGUCAAAGCAAAUAUCAUUAAGAUAAAAUAUCCAAAUGCACAAAAUCUUCCAUAGUGGCUUGUAGAGGACAUCUUUAGCUUUCCAAAAAAUCCUAAAACACCUUCAUAGGAUGAAAAUUGAGAGUGUUAUGACUGUCAGAAGUUGGAGAAAUUUGAAGAACAUGAAACCCUAAAUGAAGGAUAUUGUAUUUUCAAGUAAUGGGCCAUAAGUUUUGGGUAAUCCACGUCAUUUUGAGAUCAUUUAAGGCCAAAGGAUCAUUUGAUAAUUAUUUUAUGAUUGUUAUUAUAUUUAUUUUGGAUUUAUUCAUGUAAAUUCAAUUUAAAUCAAAUAAAAUCAAAUCAUGCAAGAAGAUUCCAUUCAUUGAAUCAAGACCAAGUCCAUCUUAGGGCCAAUAACACGUUAAAAGUUGUGGAAAACAGAUUAGGAUUGGAUUUAGAAAGUUUUCAUGUAUUUUACAAAUCAAUAUUUUUUAAAAACAAUCCAAUUCUUCCUUUCCAAAACUAAAAACCCUAAUGUUGUCUCCUAUAUAUAUACUCUCCAAUCAGCCUCUCUCCCACGAAAAAAAAACCUUGCCUCAAAGUCCUCUCAAAGCCCCCUAAAAAUUCUUCAAAAAUGCAAAAGGUUAGGGCAUGAGUAAGAACACGUUUCAGGAAGAUUCAAGGCCUCCCAUACGUCCAAACGCGCUUUUGGGUCGAUAAAAGAUAAGGUUGAGUCAUGGCAUUGGCUUGGUAACAUUCGAAAAGCUCAUAAGAAAUUCAUCAUGUUCAUGCAUACUAUGACUUUCGUAUACAACAUUUUAUUGUUUUUAAAUCAAUACUAACCAUGUGUUUGAGUUUGUGAUGAUGUUUAGAGAUAUUUGGAACGUAGGUUAUGAAGCUUUAAUACAGGAACGAGGUUAUGCCAUGGUUAGGGCACAAACCAAGAACAUGAUCGGGUUCAUGUUUCCAAGAUGUUUCAGCCCAAAUAAAUACCAUAUUCGUGUUCAGAGGCUAAUUUUAACGAGAUCUGGACGGUUUUCAUUUUCGUUUGAUGCUGAUUUUUGCAGGUUACACUUUCCUGGAUUUAGCUACGAAAACUGGUGUCAAAAUCCGUAGCUAAUUGGCAUUAGAACUGUUUCUAAAAAUCCGCAGCUUUUUGUUGAAGAAGAUGAUGACAUGGACAGUCCUGGUCUUUUGUUGACCACACGCGUAGUACCUUGAGUGGCCGGUCAGCAAAGGCGCUACUCUCUCCUCUUCUAAUUGGCUCGCAUGUGAACAUGGGGGACCCGAUUUGACUCAAUUUUCUGAACUAACCAUUUAAUAAGUUGAUAGAAAGGGGUUUAGCAAAUUUUCCAAAUCUAAGAGUUAGCCAUUAAACAACACAAAACUAACGAUAACUAAGAAAAUAUCAAUUCUUUCUUGCCUCCUUCAAAACAUAAGGAGGCUAUAAAUACAUACAAGAGAAGACAUAUUAAACCCUAAUGGGCCAAGCCCAAACUAGAAAAUGGAUAAAAUAAGACUAACUAAUAGCACCCCUAUUUAAUAAGUGAUGAAAUCUUGUAGCUUUUUGGGCUUGAUUCUGAAACGUGUGGGCCUUCUAUCAUUACUCUCCGGCCCAAUAACAACCUUGUCCUCAAGGUUGGGCCUAACAGUGUUGCUGGGCGGAUGAAAGGAAGCAGCCCAUGGAGAAGAAAACGAGGUUGUGGAAGGAAUCUGUGAGGGUUGGGAAACAGCUGGCGGGAAAGAAAUAUUAGUGGGAGACAGCUCAUUGAUAGAUGUGGGAGCCAAGGCCACGCGUGAUGCAGAGAUUUUGCAUGUUUUCGAGGUGGCAACGGCUAGAUCUGCAGGAUCCAACGGACGAGAAGUGGAGAGAGGUAAAUUCAUGGAACUCACAAGUACAACAUUUGAGUAGUUUGCUCCUCCUUAGUGUCAACGUGACUCUCCUCUUGUGAACCUCCAUCAACGAGUGGUGUAUGUGAUUCUGAAACCGGCGGUGAGUGGAAGGUAAGCUUUCUAGUAUUGUCACUAUUAGGUUCAAGGUUCUGUUGCUCUAUAUUCUGACUAGCUCCGUUAUGUUCAUCUGUGGUAGGUAAAGCUUCCAGAUCCGGUGGAAGGUGUUAGAACAAGAUUUGUUCUUAUCAAUUAUCUUAGUUUUGAUGAUAACAAUAAUAUGAAUUUUGCUUAAGAUAAUAUGGUACUCUAAUCCAAUGCAAUUUCCCUUUCAGGAAAUAUAUAAAGAGUACGCAUAAUUCAGCGCUCAGAAGAUGUGUCUCAAAUGGUUCAGCAUGCAACAUCAGAACAUGGUCUGGCAAGACAUCAGAAGAUGGUCGAAGCAGAAUCAGAACAUGGGUCUAUGGAAGCAUCAGAAGAACAUGAGAUCAGAAGCACUGAAAAUCAGAAGAUGGUAUCACGCUCAGAAGCACUUCAAGGUCAGAAGAUCAGAAGAUGCUGUGCACCAAGCUGUUUGACUCUGAUGAUAUUCAAACGUCGUAUUCACAAACAUCAGAUCAGAAGGAAGUACACGUGGCAGACUACGCUGACUGACAAAAGGAACGUUAAAGCUACUAAAGGCUACGUCAGUAGACACAGCGUGAACAAGGCUCGAGGUAGUUGACAAAAGCGUAUAACAUUAAAUGCAAAGCUGUACGGAACACGCAAAGCAUUAAAUGCAUUCAACGGUCAUCUUUUCAACGCCUAUAAAUAUGAAGUUCUGAUGAGAAGCAAGGUUAACGAUUCUGCACAAAAUCAACUUAUAUCAAACUUGCUGAAACGCUGUUCAAAUCAAAACUCAGAAUCUUCAUCUUCAUCUAAGCUCACUACAUUGCUGUUGUAAUAUCUUAGUGAGAUUAAGCUUAAACUGUAAGAGAAAUAUCACAGUUGUGAUUAUCGCUUUUAAGAAGCAUUUGUAAACUCUUGAAUUGAUUACAUUAAGUUGUAAGGAACUAGAGUGAUCGGUUGAUCAGUAUACUCUAGGAAGUCUUGGCAGUUGGCUGAGCAGUUUGUAACUAGAGUGAUCAGGUUGAUCAGAAUACUCUAGAGGAAGUCUUAGCAGUUGGCUGAGCAGAAAGUCUUAGGAG